AGCGAACGUUAGCGGCGGGCCUAACACAUGCAAGUCGGGGGAGAAGUGGCUUCGGCCAUGAGUAAACCGGCGGACGGGUGAGUAACACGUGGGUAAUGUACCUAUCGGCGGGGAUAACAAUCCGAAGGGUUGCUAAUACCGCAUGCGUCGGCGAGGUCUUCGGAUCUUGCCGGGAAAGAUGGCCUCUCCAUGGAAGCUAUCACCGGUAGAUCAGCCCGCCGUCCCAUCAGUUAGUUGGUGAGGUAAUGGCUCACCAAGGCUUAGACGGGUAGCUGGUCUGAGAGGAUGAUCAGCCACACUGGGACUGAGACACGGCCCAGACUCCUACGGGAGGCAGCA
rnacentral:rRNA from 1 species